AGCGAACGCUGGCGGCGUACCUAACACAUGCAAGUCGAACGAGGAGCUUCGGUGUAGCAAUACAUCGGAGCUUCUAGUGGCGCACGGGUGAGUAACACGUGGGCAACCUGCCCUAGAGUCUGGGAUACCCUCUCGAAAGGGAGGCUAAUACCGGAUACGUUCCUCGGAUCGCGAGAUCUGGGGAGGAAAGGUGGCGAAAGCUGCCGCUCUUGGAGGGGCUCGCGGCCUAUCAGCUAGUUGGUGAGGUAACGGCUCACCAAGGCGAUGACGGGUAGCUGGUCUGAGAGGACGACCAGCCACACGGGGACUGAGACACGGCCCCGACUCCUACGGGAGGCAGCAGUGGGGAAUUUUCCGCAAUGGGCGAAAGCCUGACGGAGUGACGCCGCGUGGGGGACGAAGGCCUUCGGGUCGUAAACCCCUGUCAGAGGGAAAGAAGGGUGCCGGCGUGAAUAGCGCAGGCAUUUGACGGUACCUUCAGAGGAAGCCCCGGCCAACUCUGUGC
rnacentral:rRNA from 1 species